CAGUAGCCGCGGUAAUACGGAGGGUGCAAGCGUUAUCCGGAUUUAUUGGGUUUAAAGGGUCCGUAGGCGGACUUAUAAGUCAGUGGUGAAAGCCUGUCGCUUAACGAUAGAACUGCCAUUGAUACUGUAAGUCUUGAGUAUAUUUGAGGUAGCUGGAAUAAGUAGUGUAGCGGUGAAAUGCAUAGAUAUUACUUAGAACACCAAUUGCGAAGGCAGGUUACCAAGAUAUAACUGACGCUGAGGGACGAAAGCGUGGGUAGCGAACAGGAUUAGAUACCCCCGUAGUCCCUGUCUCUUAUAC
rnacentral:rRNA from 1 species